GGAAUCGUCUGUAAGGUUAGGACACAAGAUCCUGAGAACUUUGAUGAAGAGGUCAAGCCUUUGGUAACUGCCUGGUG
rnacentral:rRNA from 1 species